AUACGGGGGGUGCAAGCGUUAAUCGGAAUUACUGGGCGUAAAGCGCUCGUAGGCGGCCUGUUAAGUCGGAUGUGAAAGCCCCGGGCUCAACCUGGGAACUGCAUUCGAAACUGGCAGGCUAGAGUAUAGUAGAGGCAAGUGGAAUUCCGGGUGUAGCGGUGAAAUGCGUAGAUAUCCGGAGGAACAUCAGUGGCGAAGGCGACUUGCUGGACUAAUACUGACGCUGAGGAGCGAAAGCGUGGGGAGCAAACGGGAUUAGAAACCCCGGUAGUCC
rnacentral:rRNA from 1 species